GUGAGUCAUCGAAUCUUUGAACGCACAUUGCGCUCUCUGGUAUUCCGGGGAGCAUGCCUGUUUGAGUAUCAGUAAAUUCCUCAUACCUCUCCUUUUUGGAAGUAUGGAUGUGAGUUAUCCCAGGCGGAGGCAAAGACCUCGGCGACUGGGUGACUUGAAAUGUAUGGUUUGGCUGGACUCUUAAGAUACUGGCGGCCGAAAAGCGCGACAAGAACUGAGCUGGCUGUGGCCUGUGAAAAAGUUUAAAAAUCCGCUGACCUCGGAGCUAGUAGUACAUCUAAAGAGUUAGCCUUCUCAACU
rnacentral:misc_RNA from 1 species